UUCUUGUUGAGCGCUCAGGACCAAGACCUGUGGUUGUUACUUGUUAAAAUCACAGGGUUGUUUGCAAGUUAAUGCAUUACCUUUGUGGGGACAAGCCAGUGCCAUCUGUGAAGGUCUGUAGGAGCUGUGGUUGGGUCCUGCCCCAGCACAGUUUUCACAUGCUGCUUCUCCUGCCUUCAGACAAGUUCUUCUUUGUCACAGUGUUUGGCAUGCACUGAAAUUUCUACAGGAAUUGGAAGGCUGCCUGGCUGUUCAGUUCAGGAGAAGGAAGUUGAGUUACUGCCCCUGACAGACAUCUCUGUCAACUCUUCAGGAUGUCAAUGCUGGUUUGUUUGGUGGGAAAACACCAAAAGUCAACACCAGGAGGGACUGGAAAUAGCACUCAGAUGGUCAGGGGGCACACAGUGGGUCGGGUGGAGGCCCAUGAGAGAGCUGAGCACAGUAAGGAACCAUUUAAUGGAACCAUUUAAUGACUGAGUAACCCCUGCUCCUCUUGGGCUACCAGGAUCCCCCUGGAGCCCUUGCCCACCAGCCAGUAGUGAACACAUCUGUUCUUGGUAGAGAUUUUUCUGUUGAUUUCUCCCAGGCCCAUGUGUGAAACCCCUGCUUUGAGGUUGAGGGUAAUUACUGCUGCACAGCACAGACAUGUGGGGCUGAUUAGUUCCAGGCCAGAUAGGGAGAGGGUGCUGAUGGUUCCCAGGUAGGAAUGGAAACAGGACAGAUGCUUUGCUCCUGGCAAGAGCGUGUUUAGGUUUAGACUCAUUCCAGAGGAAGAUUUGGGUUCCCAAAGAAGAACAGAGGUAAAGUUAGGUCUUGCAGACAAAACUGUAACAUGAAUCUGCUGCUGCCUAACCCCCAGAGUGUCUGGGUUCAAAAUCUGUUUAAGCAUCUGCAGCAGCACUUCUGUGUGCCCAGGGCUGCCCUGCCUUAUUGUCAUCUGGUGACUUCACUUGAAAGUGCUUUGAGCACCACUCAAAAAUGCUCCUGAGGUGUGCAGGUGCCUGUUUCAGCUGCCUGAAGAGAGGCAAAGGCCAUGUUGGUCAUAUCCAAGGAGAAGUGGCAUCCACAAAGGUUUUUUGAGGACUGUGGCUCGGAGCUGAGGUAACCAAGUUCUGCCUCUCUCCUGCUUUUGUGCCUGAGGCUGAUCUGGGUCUCAUCUUCAGCCCAGGAGUGAGGAGCAACUGUCUGUGAUGGUGGCAGGUGAUUGAAGAGGGACCAAGGACCACAGUUACCAAAGAUAUUCCUGUCACAAAGAAUUGGAAAAUUUUUAGUGAUAAGAGGGAAGCACACUAGGUUCCUUGGUGAUGCUAAGUGCUAGGCUGCAGCUCUACCUGUGCAUUAAUGAAACCACUAGUGAAGUUAAACUGAACUGAGUCUCACUGCAGAAGAGCUGGUUAACUUUUAUUUUUUGUUUGUUUUGGUUUGGGGUUUUUUUUUGCCUGCUUUUUUUGUUAUUACUCUCUCUUUCCUUCUUUUU
rnacentral:lncRNA from 1 species